rnacentral:rRNA from 1 species
GAAUUUUUCACAAUGGGCGAAAGCCUGAUGGAGCGACGCCGCGUGGGGGAUGAAUGGCUUCGGCCCGUAAACCCCUGUCAUUCGGGAUCAAUGCCGGCAACCUAACACGUUGACGGUUGAUAGUACUGAAAGAGGAAGGGAAGGCUAACUCUGUGCCGGCAGCCGCGGUAAUACAGAGGUCCCAAGCGUUGUUCGGAUUUACUGGGCGUAAAGGGCGCGUAGGUGGUAGGCUAAGUCUGGUGUGAAAGCUCUGAGCUUAACUCAGAAAUGGCACUAGAUACUAGCUUGCUUGAGGGUUGGAGGGGAGACUGGAAUUCUCGGUGUAGCAGUGAAGUGCGUAGAUAUCGAGAGGAACACCAGUGGCGAAGGCGAGUCUCUGGACAACUCCUGACACUGAGGCGCGAAAGCUAGGGGAGCAAACGGG